GGCGCAGCACCUGCGUGUGUGGCUGUGCUGUUUGCAGGGCCGCCUCGGAUCCGCCCAACGCCGGCUGCCCGCACACAGCACACACAGCACACAGCACACGCGUGCAGCGC
rnacentral:pre_miRNA from 1 species